CCGACCGGCCGGUCGGCUGUCGGGGCUGCGGCGUCUGGGCGGGCCAGUUGGCGUUCAGACUCUGAGUGGUGUGCGUGUCCAAUAAAGCCUUAUUAAGCCACGGGAAGGUCGGCCUUGGGAAGACCAAGCUGUUCCGGGUGAUCUUCCACGCUGUCAACCUGAACCCGACGGUGACCUGCCAAGAAAAGGAUCUCGAAAAGGCCGUCGGCAAGUGGCUGACAAACUGCCGCGACCGUGACGGCCAGCGAUCAGACCGGGGGCGAGGCCGUCCGCCCGCCCAGUGACUUGUGUCUCGAUGAGCGCAGAAAGAAAUACAGGACUGUGCCUGAUGUAUGUUGUUUUUAUGGGAAUAAAGUGCUGGAAGGAA